rnacentral:rRNA from 1 species
GCUGGCGGCAGCCCUUACACAUGCAAGUCGAGCGAGAAAGUUUCUUCGGAAGCGAGUAAAGCGGCGGACGGGUGAGUAACGCGUAGGAAUCUACCAUUCAGUGGGGGAUAGCUCGGGGAAACCCGAAUUAAUACCGCAUAUACCCUAAGGGGGAAAGAGGGCCUAUCCUUGGAAGCUCUUGCUGUUUGAUGAGCCUGCGUGAGAUUAGUUUGUUGGUGAGGUAAUGGCUCACCAAGACUACGAUCUCUAGCUGGUCUGAGAGGACGAUCAGCCACACUGGGACUGAGACACGGCCCAGACUCCUACGGGAGGCAGCAGUGGGGAAUAUUGGACAAUGGGGGCAACCCUGAUCCAGGCAUGCCGCGUGUGUGAAGAAGGCCUUCGGGUUGUAAAGCACUUUAGGUAAGGAAGAAAAGUUAUUGGUUAAUACCUAAUGACCGUGACAUUACUUACAGAAUAAGGACCGGCUAACUCCGUGCCAGCAGCCGCGGUAAUACGGAGGGUCCAAGCGUUAAUCGGAAUUACUGGGCGUAAAGCGCGCGUAGGCGGUUUGACAAGUUGGGUGUGAAAUCCCCGGGCUUAACCUGGGAACUGCAUUCAAAACUUUUAAACUGGAGUACGGGAGAGGAGAGUAGAAUUCAUGGUGUAGCGGUGAAAUGCGUAGAUAUCAUGAGGAAUACCAAUGGCGAAGGCAACUCUCUGGACCGUAACUGACGCUGAGGUGCGAAAGCGUGGGUAGCAAACAGGAUUAGAUACCCUGGUAGUCCACGCCGUAAACGAUGACAACUAGCCGUUGGACUUUCGGGUUCAGUGGCACAGCUAACGCAUUAAGUUGUCCGCCUGGGGAGUACG